rnacentral:rRNA from 1 species
GACAGAGGGUGCAAACGUUGUUCGGAAUUACUGGGCGUAAAGGGCGCGUAGGCGGCCUUCUAAGUCAGACGUGAAAUCCCCCGGCUUAACCUGGGAACUGCGUCUGAUACUGGGAGGCUAGAGUGCGGGAGAGGGAUGCGGAAUUCCAGGUGUAGCGGUGAAAUGCGUAGAUAUCUGGAGGAACACCGGUGGCGAAGGCGGCAUCCUGGACCGACACUGACGCUGAGGCGCGAAAGCUAGGGUAGCAAACGGG